rnacentral:rRNA from 1 species
UGGGGAAUAUUGCACAAUGGGCGCAAGCCUGAUGCAGCCAUGCCGCGUGUAUGAAGAAGGCCUUCGGGUUGUAAAGUACUUUCAGCGGGGAGGAAUGGAGUAAAGUUAAUACCUUUGCUCAUUGACGUUACCCGCAGAAGAAGCACCGGCUAACUCCGUGCCAGCAGCCGCGGUAAUACGGAGGGUGCAAGCGUUAAUCGGAAUUACUGGGCGUAAAGCGCACGCAGGCGGUUUGUUAAGUCAGAUGUGAAAUCCCCGGGCUCAACCUGGGAACUGCAUCUGAUACUGGCAAGCUUGAGUCUCGUAGAGGGGGGUAGAAUUCCAGGUGUAGCGGUGAAAUGCGUAGAGAUCUGGAGGAAUAACGGUGGCGAAGGCGGCCCCCUGGACGAAGACUGACGCUCAGGUGCGAAAGCGUGGGGAGCAAACAGG